rnacentral:rRNA from 1 species
AUUGAACGCUGGCGGCAUGCUUUACACAUGCAAGUCGAACGGUAACAGGCCUUCGGGUGCUGACGAGUGGCGAACGGGUGCGUAAUGCAUCGGAACGUAACCAGAGGUGGGGGAUAACGCAGCGAAAGCUGUGCUAAUACCGCAUGUGAUCUGAGGAUGAAAGCGGGGGACCGAGCAGCAAUGUUUGGCCUCGCGCCUUUGGAGCGGCCGAUGUCGGAUUAGCUAGUUGGGGGGGUAAAGGCCUACCAAGGCGACGAUCCGUAGCUGGUCUGAGAGGACGACCAGCCACACUGGGACUGAGACACGGCCCAGACUCCUACGGGAGGCAGCAAUGGGGAAUUUUGGACAAUGGGCGCAAGCCUGAUCCAGCAAUGCCGCGUGCGGGAAGAAGGCCUUCGGGUUGUAAACCGCUUUUGGCAGGAACGAAACGGUGUCCGCUAAUACCGGGCGCUAAUGACGGUACCUGCAGAAUAAGCACCGGCUAACUACGUG